rnacentral:rRNA from 1 species
CCCCUAGUAACUGCGAGUGAAGCGGGAAAAGCUCAAAUUUAAAAUCUGGCGGUUUCACCGUCCGAGUUGUAAUUUAGAGAAGUGUUAUCCGCGCUGGACCGUGUACAAGUCUCCUGGAAUGGAGCGUCAUAGAGGGUGAGAAUCCCGUCUUUGACACGGACUACCAGGGCAUUGUGAUACGCUCUCAAAGAGUCGAGUUGUUUGGGAUUGCAGCUCAAAAUGGGUGGUAAAUUCCAUCUAAAGCUAAAUAUUGGGGAGAGACCGAUAGCGAACAAGUACCGUGAGGGAAAGAUGAAAAGAACUUUGGAAAGAGAGUUAAACAGUACGUGAAAUUGCUGAAAGGGAAACGCUUGAAGUCAGUCGCGUCGUUCAGGAUUCAGCUUUAGCAUCCGCUAUGUGCAUUUCCUGUUUGACGGGUCAGCAUCAGUUUUGGCCGGUGGAUAAAGGUUCAGAGAAUGUGGCAUCCUCGGAUGUGUUAUAGCUCUGGGUCGCAUACAUCGGCUGGGACUGAGGAACUCAGCACGCCGCAAGGCCAGGUUUCGACC